rnacentral:rRNA from 1 species
CAAGGUUUCCGUAGGUGAACCUGCGGAAGGNUCAUUGANGAAUAUGGUGUUCCUCUGGACCCAACCCAUUACCAUCUAUUCCUGUGGACUGUAUACCAUUUUUUUUUAAACAACGUCGUUGAAUGUUCCAUCUGUGUAAUGCAGAUCUAAAACAAAUACAACUUUUAGCAACGGAUCUCUUGGCUCUCGCAUCGAUGAAGAACGCAGCGAAAUGCGAUAAGUAAUGUGAAUUGCAGAAUUCAGUGAAUCAUCGAAUCUUUGAACGCACCUUGCACCCUUUGGUAUUCCGAAGGGUAUGCCUGUUUGAGUGUCUUGAACAUAUCUCAAGCCCCCUUGUGGGCAUUUGGUUCUGAGCACUNCCAGUUUAGAUGCACUGGCUUGCUUUAAAUGGAUUAGCUGGGCCGCGUUACAGUCUCACAAGCGUAGUAAUUCUCGCCUGGNCUACACAGUAACUGGGCCUGCUUAUUNACCCCCCNCCCCCCCCCCCCCCCCANUUUCAUCAGANCUCAAUCANGNANNGACUANCCCGCUNGACUUNAGCAUAUCNAUAGNNNGAGGNAAAGAAACUNACAAGGAUUCCCCUAGUANCGGCGAGUGAAGCGGGAAGAGCUCAAAUUUUAAAUCUCACAGUCUCAGACUGUGCGAGUUGUAACCUAGAGAAGUGUUUUCCGUGCUGGCCUACGUACAAGUCCCUUGGAAUAGGGCGUCAUAGAGGGUGAGAAUCCCGUACUUGACGUAGACAACCAGUGCAUUGCGAUGCACUUUCAAAGAGUCGAGUUGUUUGGGAAUGCAGCUCAAAAUGGGUGGUAAAUUCCAUCUAAAGCUAAAUAUUGGCGAGAGACCGAUAGCGAACAAGUACCGUGAGGGAAAGAUGAAAAGCACUUUGAAAAGAGAGUGAAACAGUACGUGAAAUUGCUAAAAGGGAAACGCUUGAAGUCAGUCGCGCCCGUCGCGCGCCGAGGCAACUCGGUGCCGACUGGGCGGGUCAGCAUCAGUUUUGAUUUUCCCGUUGUAUAAAGGCAGUUGGAAUGUAGCUUCUCGGAGUGUUAUAGCCUUCUGUCGCAUGCAACGGUCAGGACUGAGGAAUGCAGCACGGGGGGGAGAUAUAACCCUCUCCCCCACCCGGUCCCUUUGGACACGUACCAUGUGCUUAGGAUGCUGGCAAAAUGGCUUUAAACGACCCGUCUUGAAACACGGACC